rnacentral:rRNA from 2 species
AUUACAGAGUUGCAAAACUCCCUAAACCAUUGUGAACGUUACCUAUACCGUUGCUUCGGCGGGCGGCCCCGGGGUUUACCCCCCGGGCGCCCCUGGGCCCCACCGCGGGCGCCCGCCGGAGGUCACCAAACUCUUGAUAAUUUAUGGCCUCUCUGAGUCUUCUGUACUGAAUAAGUCAAAACUUUCAACAACGGAUCUCUUGGUUCUGGCAUCGAUGAAGAACGCAGCGAAAUGCGAUAAGUAAUGUGAAUUGCAGAAUUCAGUGAAUCAUCGAAUCUUUGAACGCACAUUGCGCCCGCCAGCAUUCUGGCGGGCAUGCCUGUUCGAGCGUCAUUUCAACCAUCAAGCCCCCGGGCUUGUGUUGGGGACCUGCGGCUGCCGCAGGCCCUGAAAAGCAGUGGCGGGCUCGCUGUCGCACCGAGCGUAGUAGCAUACAUCUCGCUCUGGUCGCGCCGCGGGUUCCGGCCGUUAAACCACCUUUUAACCCAAGGUUGACCUCGGAUCAGGUAGGAAGACCCGCUGAACUUAAGCAUAUCAAUAAGCGGAGGAAAAGAAACCAACAGGGAUUGCCCUAGUAACGGCGAGUGAAGCGGCAACAGCUCAAAUUUGAAAUCUGGCUUCGGCCCGAGUUGUAAUUUGCAGAGGAAGCUUUAGGCGCGGCACCUUCUGAGUCCCCUGGAACGGGGCGCCAUAGAGGGUGAGAGCCCCGUAUAGUUGGAUGCCUAGCCUGUGUAAAGCUCCUUCGACGAGUCGAGUAGUUUGGGAAUGCUGCUCAAAAUGGGAGGUAAAUUUCUUCUAAAGCUAAAUACCGGCCAGAGACCGAUAGCGCACAAGUAGAGUGAUCGAAAGAUGAAAAGCACUUUGAAAAGAGGGUUAAAUAGCACGUGAAAUUGUUGAAAGGGAAGCGCUUGUGACCAGACUUGCGCCGGGCGGAUCAUCCGGU